CCCGGAGAACGCAAGCAUGUAAAAUGAUUUAGACAAGUGUUUGGGAGGGAGUGUACUUACACUCGAACCCGGAAAAUGCGGAUGUCUCUAAACGAGUCGUUUUUGUAAAACGCCAAACUUGAGAACAAAGUAGGAAUAUAAAAGCGAAACGAAGUCAUAAUGCGUACCGUAAGGGUUGCAAUAAUAACGACUUCGGUAAAACACCCGGUUGGUGGGUAAGGAUUUAAACACAUGCGUAGACCGAGAAACGGGAACUCGGAUGGAAAGUUAAAAGACUUGGAUUUUGAGUCAUUACUAAAAGAUGACAAGAUAAAGUAAAUAGAAGUUUUGAUAAAUCAUGUUCAACUAUUUUAAAGUUGAACGGGUCGAACAAAUAUUGAAGUUUGACAUUCAUAAGUGACGAAUUUUCACACGAACAAGUUAAACUGGUUAGAUAAAACGAAACAUUGGAAAAGAUAAAGAACCCGGUAAUGGGACGAGAUUGAAUGCAAAUAUGAGCGCAAACCGAAGAAAGGAAAGCGCGAGACAUUAAUGAACCCAUGUAAUGGGUCGGAAUUAAAUAUGAGAUGAUUGUGGACACGAAUCACAGUCGGCAUGAGCGAAAUUUUGAUGCAAAAAAAAAAAACAAACAAAUAAUUUUCAAAUAUAAAAAGGAGAAUCUACGGGAUCAUUAUAACCUUCGGGUUAGAAACAAUGUAAUGGUCUACGGGACUAAACUGGCCCAUGGGUCACGAAUAGAAAGGGAAGGAAUCAUAAAGGCAACGCCCUAAAGAGGUGAAAGCCUAAAUAAAUAGCCUACGAGGCCAAGUAAAAGAAUCUACGGGUUACGUAGACGAGCGGGGGAACCAGUAGAGAAUUCCCACAUAAAACUAGACUGUAAAAGAAUAAAUUACAGAUUGUCAAUGUCCUGGUAUGGAUAAUUGACAAAAGAUAAAGAAAAGAUCCUAAACUAAAACUUUGGUUUUAGUAAGAAAUAACGUUUUUACAAAUAUGUAUGCUGAUAGGAAAUUGAAUAUUAAGCAUGAAAGGUUCAAGUUUUGACACUGAUAGGCGCAAGACGUUAUGUUUGAAAAGUGAUAUUUUCGAAAAUGAAAUUUUGAUAUAAAUUAAAUAUGAUAUGACGCGAUCACGGUCAAGAACUGCAAUGUGAAGUAGAAUCACAUUAUAACCAAGCAAGCUGUAAAAAGUAACUGGACUAAUAAGUCUAGUUAGCGAGACCGGUAAAGGUCAGCAAUUAAAAUCAAGAAAUUUGGUUUGCUUGUAAGCGGUGGAUUCGGUAUAACUAAAUCGAAUGAAUAAAUUUGAAAACAAAAGAAAUUGUUGCUAAAAGCGAAAAUUCUCACUAAAGACCUUUAAACGGGUCAAAGUAAUGGAUUCAUAAAGAAUUCCAUUGUAUAUGAAAGCGAUGGAUAUCGCUAAGUUAACUAAGUUAGUGGAAAUAACAAAAUUACGUUAUUUCAAGUUGCAUUAUGUCGUAUGAGAUGUGUAGACAAUUAGUAACCAAAAAGAUGUUACCAUACUUUUCUGGUACUAAUAACGAUUGGUUAAAAAUAUAAGUAAUGUUUAAAAGAAUUCUAGGAUCGAAUACAUUGAGUUUAAACUCGAUGAAUUAUGUAAGAAAAGGUUUCGAGGACGAAACCUCUUUAAGGGGGGUAGACUUGUAACACCCCAAAAUAUAAAAUUUACAUAUACAUAUGUAAAUUAUAAAUUGGUCAUAACCAAAUGUAACAUAACUAGGAAUAAUUAACCUAGUUAGUAAAUUGAAUUGGAAAAAAAAAACAAUAAGGAAAAACAUGAAAUAGAUAACCAUUUUACAAAAUAUGGAACUAUAGGGACUAAAAGAGGCAAAAGGGAAAAAUGUUUUUAAUUAAAACAAAUAAACACCAAAACACACACACAUGUGUGUGUUUGGUCGACGUUUACACAGAGCCAGGAGAAGGGUUCUUUUCAAAACCCUAAACUCACUAAAAUCCAUCAAAAUCUAAGGGAAAUCGAGUUGGAAAUUAGGGCUUUAACUAAAUUCAUGAUCAACCAUGCUAGGAGAUCACAAGUUGACUCUAAACAAGCUAGGUGGGAGCUUGGAAAGGAACGGGUCAAACGGAUCAUGGAUGCGAAGAAUGUUUGCGCGAACGCGAGGUAAGUAAAGCUUACGCCCAAUUGUAGUAAACGUAUGUAUUUUAUAGAUGAUAAAUGUGACAAUCGAUUACAUUCGAAAUUGAAGUUCCGACACUAAGCGAUGUGAGUCGGAACGAAUAAAAAUGAUCAAAACCAUGGUUAAUGGUAAAAUGGACAAAAGGGUAAUUUAGUCGUGAAUCGACUAAGAAUUUAUAAGAUUUCUUUAAGGUUACCUUAUAGCGAAACUUGAAACGGGUCGGAUGUGUGAAGGGGAUAUUAAAAGUCAUGUUUUGACAUAAGUAUAAAUGUUUGGUCAUAAAUACCAAAUGGGUCAAAUGGUGGUGAUGAAACCAUUUGACAAUAUCGACUAAUGCUUGGUUGUUAAGUUAAAUGUUCACAGGAGUGAACGGGAAGUGGAUUAUUGCGUUGCUAUAAAAUAGCGGCUAAUAAAAGAAAGGUACAAAACGGGUCUAUAUGUUGACUCGAGCCAGGUACGCAUUAAUUAGAUCAUGGCGAUAUGCGUAGUUGUAUUUUAGAAUAUAAGUUACUAUGAAAUAUAGCGAUGAUAUCGCCACAUUGAAUAUUUGGUCAAAAGAUGGUUAGAACUCGUUGGUAGUCGUCAGAAAGGAAGGAAUUCCGUAGACGAGCCAAACGGGUCGAAUAAUCAAGUAAGGCAUGGUUAUUGUUUCGGAUUAUGAUGGUUUGAUGGUUGAUUUUGAAUAUUUUAUAACAUAUUAGAAAUAUGAGGUUUUAAUGAAUUAGUAUCAUAGAAAACUGAAAACCGAGAGUCGGGUCUUGGAGUAAUGAUCAAACAAAACAAAACCUGACAUUCCAGGUACUACCGUAAAUUACGGUAGAACCGUAAUUUACGGUGGUUGUGAUAUGGUUUACGGAGCAGAUCUCCUGGUUUACGGUGACCAGACAUUUCCAGGUCUCACCGUAAAUUACGGUGAUACCGUAAUUUACGGUGGAUUCAGAAUCACUUUUUAUAUUUUUGUUAUUUCUAAUGUGGCAUUAAGCCUUGGGAUUAUGUUAUUAUAUAACAACGUCAAAACUAAUGAUUUUAACGGUUUUGAUCAUAGGUGAAUGCCAAGAGUGCCCGGAUGAAGAUCAAGCUCGAUGAGGAACCGAACACAAUAAAAUCUAACACUCGGGAUUAAAGCUUCCGCACGGCGUUACGCCAUAUCUUUUAAACGACGAACUUAUUUAUAUUACGUUAAAAAAAAACUUUUAAGUUGUAAAAGUUUUUUUUUUAGAUUACUUGUAUUUUCUAAGAAUACUUAAUCGAAAUUUCAUGUUUAUUUUCGAUAUUUAUACGAAAACCUUAAAAAUUAUAACAUGGGUGUUACAAGUUGGUAUCAGAGCCUUGGUUUAAGAGAUUCAAGUAUGGUGGGGAAAACCAUGCUUGGACUUAAACCUUACGCUCUUGAUAAAGAAUAGUGUUCGGUUCGAGACUUGAUCGCAAAUCCGGUAAGUGCAUGUAUGCUGAUGGUCUAGUGUAUUAAAGUAUUGUAAAUAACACAUAGGGUUACCGUGUAAUACACAUUGCCCCAACUAAAUGAUUGAUAUAGUUGACAAAAAUACGCGCGUUGACGCUUAUAGUAGAAAAAGCCUUGUAUUAUAAUACAGGGGAUUAUUGAAGUUGACAUUACUAACUUUUGUGAAUGUCUUGAUUUAAGGACACUUGCAUUUAAAGAUGACAAAGGACAAACAAAUUAAGGAUGUGAUAGAGGAAUAGUCCGAGGCAUGACAAGAGGAACAUGCUCACUAAGGACUAAAUCGCAUAAAGACCGCGAACAAGGUUAAUGGCAAGAGACGCCCGUCGGGGCAAGCAUUAUCAGUUGACUCUAAACAAGCUAGGUGGGAGCUUGGAAAGGAACGGGUCAAACGGAUCAUGGAUGCGAAGAAUGUUUGCGCGAACGCGAGGUAAGUAAAGCUUACGCCCAAUUGUAGUAAACGUAUGUAUUUUAUAGAUGAUAAAUGUGACAAUCGAUUACAUUCGAAAUUGAAGUUCCGACACUAAGCGAUGUGAGUCGGAACGAAUAAAAAUGAUCAAAACCAUGGUUAAUGGUAAAAUGGACAAAAGGGUAAUUUAGUCGUGAAUCGACUAAGAAUUUAUAAGAUUUCUUUAAGGUUACCUUAUAGCGAAACUUGAAACGGGUCGGAUGUGUGAAGGGGAUAUUAAAAGUCAUGUUUUGACAUAAGUAUAAAUGUUUGGUCAUAAAUACCAAAUGGGUCAAAUGGUGGUGAUGAAACCAUUUGACAAUAUCGACUAAUGCUUGGUUGUUAAGUUAAAUGUUCACAGGAGUGAACGGGAAGUGGAUUAUUGCGUUGCUAUAAAAUAGCGGCUAAUAAAAGAAAGGUACAAAACGGGUCUAUAUGUUGACUCGAGCCAGGUACGCAUUAAUUAGAUCAUGGCGAUAUGCGUAGUUGUAUUUUAGAAUAUAAGUUACUAUGAAAUAUAGCGAUGAUAUCGCCACAUUGAAUAUUUGGUCAAAAGAUGGUUAGAACUCGUUGGUAGUCGUCAGAAAGGAAGGAAUUCCGUAGACGAGCCAAACGGGUCGAAUAAUCAAGUAAGGCAUGGUUAUUGUUUCGGAUUAUGAUGGUUUGAUGGUUGAUUUUGAAUAUUUUAUAACAUAUUAGAAAUAUGAGGUUUUAAUGAAUUAGUAUCAUAGAAAACUGAAAACCGAGAGUCGGGUCUUGGAGUAAUGAUCAAACAAAACAAAACCUGACAUUCCAGGUACUACCGUAAAUUACGGUAGAACCGUAAUUUACGGUGGUUGUGAUAUGGUUUACGGAGCAGAUCUCCUGGUUUACGGUGACCAGACAUUUCCAGGUCUCACCGUAAAUUACGGUGAUACCGUAAUUUACGGUGGAUUCAGAAUCACUUUUUAUAUUUUUGUUAUUUCUAAUGUGGCAUUAAGCCUUGGGAUUAUGUUAUUAUAUAACAACGUCAAAACUAAUGAUUUUAACGGUUUUGAUCAUAGGUGAAUGCCAAGAGUGCCCGGAUGAAGAUCAAGCUCGAUGAGGAACCGAACACAAUAAAAUCUAACACUCGGGAUUAAAGCUUCCGCACGGCGUUACGCCAUAUCUUUUAAACGACGAACUUAUUUAUAUUACGUUAAAAAAAAACUUUUAAGUUGUAAAAGUUUUUUUUUAGAUUACUUGUAUUUUCUAAGAAUACUUAAUCGAAAUUUCAUGUUUAUUUUCGAUAUUUAUACGAAAACCUUAAAAAUUAUAACAUGGGUGUUACAAGUUGGUAUCAGAGCCUUGGUUUAAGAGAUUCAAGUAUGGUGGGGAAAACCAUGCUUGGACUUAAACCUUACGCUCUUGAUAAAGAAUAGUGUUCGGUUCGAGGCUUGAUCGCAAAUCCGGUAAGUGCAUGUAUGCUGAUGGUCUAGUGUAUUAAAGUAUUGUAAAUAACACAUAGGGUUACCGUGUAAUACACAUUACCCCAACUAAAUGAUUGAUAUAGUUGACAAAAAUACGCGCGUUGACGCUUAUAGUAGAAAAAGCCUUGUAUUAUAAUACAGGGGAUUAUUGAAGUUGACAUUACUAACUUUUGUGAAUGUCUUGAUUUAAGGACACUUGCAUUUAAAGAUGACAAAGGACAAACAAAUUAAGGAUGUGAUAGAGGAAUAGUCCGAGGCAUGACAAGAGGAACAUGCUCACUAAGGACUAAAUCGCAUAAAGACCGCGAACAAGGUUAAUGGCAAGAGACGCCCGUCGGGGCAAGCAUUAUCAGUUGACUCUAAACAAGCUAGGUGGGAGCUUGGAAAGGAACGGGUCAAACGGAUCAUGGAUGCGAAGAAUGUUUGCGCGAACGCGAGUUAAAUGUUCACAGGAGUGAACGGGAAGUGGAUUAUUGCGUUGCUAUAAAAUAGCGGCUAAUAAAAGAAAGGUACAAAACGGGUCUAUAUGUUGACUCGAGCCAGGUACGCAUUAAUUAGAUCAUGGCGAUAUGCGUAGUUGUAUUUUAGAAUAUAAGUUACUAUGAAAUAUAGCGAUGAUAUCGCCACAUUGAAUAUUUGGUCAAAAGAUGGUUAGAACUCGUUGGUAGUCGUCAAAAAGGAAGGAAUUCCGUAGACGAGCCAAACGGGUCGAAUAAUCAAGUAAGGCAUGGUUAUUGUUUCGGAUUAUGAUGGUUUGAUGGUUGAUUUUGAAUAUUUUAUAACAUAUUAGAAAUAUGAGGUUUUAAUGAAUUAGUAUCAUAGAAAACUGAAAACCGAGAGUCGGGUCUUGGAGUAAUGAUCAAACAAAACAAAACCUGACAUUCCAGGUACUACCGUAAAUUACGGUAGAACCGUAAUUUACGGUGGUUGUGAUAUGGUUUACGGAGCAGAUCUCCUGGUUUACGGUGACCAGACAUUUCCAGGUCUCACCGUAAAUCACGGUGAUACCGUAAUUUACGGUGGAUUCAGAAUCACUUUUUAUAUUUUUGUUAUUUCUAAUGUGGCAUUAAGCCUUGGGAUUAUGUUAUUAUAUAACAACGUCAAAACUAAUGAUUUUAACGGUUUUGAUCAUAGGUGAAUGCCAAGAGUGCCCGGAUGAAGAUCAAGCUCGAUGAGGAACCGAACACAAUAAAAUCUAACACUCGGGAUUAAAGCUUCCGCACGGCGUUACGCCAUAUCUUUUAAACGACGAACUUAUUUAUAUUAC